AAUAAAAUAAACACACACACACACAUUUUCAAGACUUCAAACUACAGGAUCUUCUAUUGCCUCCUAUCAUUUCCUCUAGCAAAAGACUAUCCAUGAAAGACAAAUGGUUAAACAUGCAAAGAGAAUAUCUCGUUCCCUUUUUCUUUCUUUUCAAAAUUACAAGUUCAGGAUCUGUUCAACGGUAGAAUUUCUUCUUCCGCCUCAUAUUACAAAUCAAUUCUAUAAAAUGCUGACAAUUCUAGCAUUCAUCUUGAAAGCCUUUUAACAAAAAGAAGCAAACAUCAUCUUAUGAACCGAAAUCACCCACAGAAUCAACAAAAAAGCAGAACCCAGAUAAUAAAAUAAAGAUUAAAAAG
rnacentral:misc_RNA from 1 species